GUAGUUUCAGCAGAUUAAACACCUUUUAGGUUUUAAAUAGUAAGUGUACAUAUCUUUCCUACUUGCAUGUAGCACCCUGUAUGCCCAGAAAUCUCCAAACGUACGGCAACUGCAGCACAGGUACUCUGCUCAGCACAUGGGACCACGCUGAAGGAGCCCUGCGCUACAACGUGACGGCACAGGGCAACUUCCAAAACAGCAUUUACUCCUGCAGCUCACAGUCCAACAGCUGUGCUAUGGCAGGCCUGCAGUGCGGGGAAAGCCUAACCAUCUCAAUCAAGUCCUCUGACAAUGAAUGUGACAGUCCACCCACGCUUGGGCUUCCUGCCGAGACAGCCCCAUGCACCCCUCAGAAUGUGAAUGCUGUGAAACAGUGUGGAAAUAACUUGGUCAUGGUGAGCUGGAGUUUAAGCAGUGGUUCACUUUUUUACAUCGCCAUGGCAAAGGAUGAUGAUGGUGAAACACACAGCUGCAACUCCUUAGACAUGUCCUGUGUGAUCAGUGGCCUGAAGUGCAGCACCAAAUACAAGGUCUCUGUCAUUUCCUCCAACUUCAUGUGCAACAGCUCUGAAAGUGAAGUGGUCACCAUGGAAACAGCUUACUGCCCACCAGAAAACCUGACCGCCUCCCUGGACUGUGCUGCCAACGAGGCUCUGAUUUCAUGGCAGGGAGCUCCUUCAUUGAACUCCUACACUGCCACCAUGACGGAUACAGGCAAUGGCCUUCUCAGUUGCAGCUCCACUAAGCAGAGCUGCAGAGUGCCCAGCCUGAAAUGUGGCCAACUCUACACUAUCACUGUCAGUUACCAUGAGGGCACCUGCCCAGGCUUGAUGUCCAAACCCAUCUACAUGUACUCUGGUAAGAAGUCAUGUUGCUUCAAAUGUUGUCUAAAUAAAUUCUUACAAAAAGUACUGUAAGUCCUUAAAGUCCCCACUUCAAUCAUCUGUUGAUCUAUUUUAUAAGCCUAGCCUAGACACAGAGUAAGCCCACUCCCAUUUCCCUCAUCUAUCUGUUUAC
rnacentral:lncRNA from 1 species